UGCCAGCCGCCGCGGUAAGACGGAGGGGGCUAGCGUUGUUCAGAAUUACUGGGCGUAAAGCGCGCGUAGGCGGCCUGUCGAGUCGGGCGUGAAAUCCCGAGGCUCAACCUCGGAACUGCCCUCAAUACUGCCAGUCUAGAGUUCGAGAGAGGUGAGUGGAAUUCCUAGUGUAGAGGUGAAAUUCGUAGAUAUUAGGAAGAACACCAGUGGCGAAGGCGGCUCACUGGCUCGAUACUGACGCUGAGGCGCGAAAGCGUGGGGAGCAAACAGGAUUAGAUA
rnacentral:rRNA from 1 species